rnacentral:rRNA from 1 species
CAAUAGCGUAUAUUAAUGUUGCUGCAGUUAAAAAGCUCGUAGUUGAAUCUUGGAGGCGUUUGUAGUCCGGUCCGCCUCGAAGGCGAGUACCGACUGCAACCCUCUAUAUCUGGUAACAACAUACUAUUGUGCUUCACUGUGCGAUAGUUUCGGGAAGAGGAAACUCGACUUGAAGGUCGGGAGCGUUGAGGGGGCGGUGGAUUAACGUCUGCUGUUCAAUUGGCGUUUCUGGCAAUGUUUUACCUAUUUUACUUUGAAAAAAUUAGAGUGUUCAAAGCAAGGCGUUGGCCUAUUGAAUAUUGCAGCAUGGGAUAAUAGAAAAAGAUAGUCUGUCUUAUUUUGUUGGUUUUUUAAGAUGACAAUAAUGAUGGAAGGGGAUGGUUGGGGCGGUCUGUAUUGCCUAGCUAGAGGUGAAAUUCUUAGAUUUGGGCAAGACAAACUACUGCGAAAGCUUUCCGCUAGGACAUAUUCAUCAA